AUUCCAUAGUGGGCUUUUAAUAGAUUGAACUGUACAAUUUUGGGUUUCAUUCGUAGCCCAUUUCAAAAGGCCCAACCUGAAUCCACUUGUAAUUUUAGGCUAUGGCGGUACCAUCAAACUAGGGUUUCUUACCCCACCCACUAUAACUAUUUGCAAAGCCCCGAAGCUUACAGUUCUCUAGUUUCCCAUUUUACUUUCCCAUCAGCCUCAUCUGGACGAUUAGGGUUUACAUCGAAUUUUAGCGGCAGGGUCACCAUGAGAGCCAAGUGGAAGAAGAAGCGUAUGAGGAGGUUGAAGAGGAAGCGCCGAAAGAUGAGACAGAGAUCCAAGUAGUUUCAUAAUAAAAUCGGCAUCGUGUAUUUUCUUUUUGUGUUUUUUGUUUUUCUUUUCCUUCUCUUUUUGUUGUCUAAUCAGUAUCGAUUAGAGAGUAAUAGAGGGCUUUUUUCUGUUUUUCUAUUAAGUCUGUUUUUUGAACCUUAGUAUGAGCUUAAAACUAAAAUUUCAAUAUUACGCAUUUGCCAUCCUUUUUAAUCCUA